rnacentral:lncRNA from 1 species
UAACUCUUCGGGUAAUUUGUCUAUUCAGUAUUAACUUGUGCUUUUGAAGACUGAUAUUUUUACGUUUACUAUAAAUUAUGCAAAAAUAACCUAUUUCUUGUUAAUUCUUAAAAUUUGAACACCAAAUUACAAUUUGCUUCAGACUGGAAAAUUCUGAUAGGGAAUAUGGUGCUGUUUGUUAUAUAAAAAUUAAAGACUCUGAAAAUAUUACUGACUUUUUUUGGAUGAAUAGCUUAUUGAUGCCUUGAAUACAAAAUCAAGAGUUUCUACAAGUCAAAUCAGUCUGCUCUCCAAACACGUGACAAGAAGAUUGUUAAUGCUUUUUCUUCGGAUAGGAGAAUCCCAAGGAAUUUCAGUUUUAUAAUUUUGAUUUUAGAAUUUUGGAUUGAGAUAUAAAUCAAUUUAUAAAUUCAGUUUAUUUAAAAUUUUAAUUUCUAAACUACUAUAAGAUAAACCACUGUAAAAAAAAUUGAGAAAAUACUUUACUAGUUCAAGAAUCACAAUUUUCAGAUCAGCCUAAUAUUCAAAAUUAAUUUUUAACUAAGUUAUAAAUUUAAGAUUAAACUAAUAAUAAUCAGUCAUUUUUUUGUUGAAAGAAGAAAUUCUUUUUGUUGGGAAAAAAAGUAGUUAUUAGUCUUUUAGUAUGUCUUAGUUAGUGAUUGAACUUAACAAUAUCAGAAUUCAAUGAGAUUUGUUCUUAUGUUUAUUCAGAAAGUAUAUUUGAAUAGGUUGAGUAAAAGAAACUAGCUGCUCAGCACGUAUCUCCCACUUUGAGAUCAGCAAAUUUAGUGUCAGUGAUACUCCAAAUUUUCUUUUAAUGUAGAGUUAUUUUAAAAUAAGUUAAUGCAACAUGUAAUUGAACAAGUGUACAUUUUAAGUGUCAUCUAGAAAUUAGACGAAAAUCAAAAGAAAUCCAAACCCUAGAGCAAUCCUGCACCAGGAAACCUACAAGAUUAUUCUCUCUCUUGUGUCUAUCUAUAUCUAUCUAUCUUUAGAAAAGAGAACGUAGAAUCUGUUUGCUUUUAAGUUUAAUUUCUCUUGUUUACUUACAUGCUGGUGGUGUCAGCUUAAAAUUUUAAUAUAAUUUGGUGAUUCAAUACUAGAUUCCGUAAUAUUCAAAGUAAAUUAUUUAAAGUUAUCUUUUUGCACAAUAUAUAAUUACUUGUGUACGAAUUAACUUCAACAUUUCGGGGUAAUUAAGCAUUGGGUCCAUUAUUUGGAACAAAAUUUUUCAUAUAUAUAUAUAUACAUACAUUAGUAAGCCACUAAGCUAUAUAUAUAUACAUUAGGGUAGCUAGCUACCCUAAACAACUGUGUUUUUUUUUUUUUUCUUCUUGAGGAAAAGAAAUACAGUGAUAAGUGAAUGUAUGUAUAUCUGAAUUGCUGGUCCCAGUUCAAUCUCACUUCACCGAGGUAUGGAUUUUGGAAAUUAUAAGUGAGCUUCUUUGUUUUGCAGCUUUUGCUUCACCAAACAGUCAUCUAUGGGGUAAGUAAAUACAACUUACCCUUAACGCUGACAUAAUUGAAUAGCAAUAUUUUAUUGUUUAUAUUUCUGUCUUGGGUGCUCCGUUUUAUCCAUUUUACACCAUGAUAUUCAAUAAUAACAGCAGUUGAAUGAUGAUACUAGAAAAGCUGCCUUUUGUCUAUUUUCAAAUUAAUUAUUGCACCGAGUAUAAAUAAACUGAAAAGACUUUAUUAUAAAUGUAAUUUGUAUAUUUUAAAUUUUUAUUUUAUAACUUCAACUAAAAUUCUGAAGUGAAUCAAUCAGAUAUCA